GACGAACGCUGGCGGCGUGCUUAACACAUGCAAGUCGAACGAUGAAGCCCUUCGGGGUGGAUUAGUGGCGAACGGGUGAGUAACACGUGGGCAAUCUGCCCUGUACUUUGGGAUAAGCCUGGGAAACUGGGUCUAAUACCGAAUAUGACAUGUCGCCGCAUGGUGGUGUGUGGAAAGUUUUAUGGUACAGGAUGAGCCCGCGGCCUAUCAGCUUGUUGGUGGGGUAAUGGCCUACCAAGGCGACGACGGGUAGCCGGCCUGAGAGGGCGACCGCCACACUGGGACUGAGACACGGCCCA
rnacentral:rRNA from 1 species